UUGUGGCUGGGUAAUCCCUACCAAAGGCUCUGAGAGGUCCUUGUGUGGCUGUGCGAGGGUGAAGCCUGAAAAUCCCAAGUUAGAGGUGCCAGAGCCAUGGGACCUUCCAAGAAGGAAUGGUCUAGCACCUAUGGGGAGAAGGAGCACUGAGAGACUGAAGAAUCGAAUCGCUUUGUACAGAACACUGAAAAUGUUUAUUAAAAUAUCCAUCUGAUGACCCAAAUGGACUAUUAAAUAUGGAAAAUCAAUCAAGAUGAAUACGGACUGGUUCCUACAUGAGAAAGCAAAGAAGCUCUGAACUAUGAGAGAGGUUUACACACUUCAUGUAAGAGCCAAAUGGUUUCUUUCAUCAUUUACAUCAUUAUAAAGAAUGAAACACAAACUUCAACAUUUUAGUCAACUAAUCCUGCCAUGCAAUCAAUGUUUUCUAGAUUUGUGUAGUGAUGUUGUAUGUAGGAAAUAUUCCAACAGUGAUGGUGGGGCAUUCGAUAGUUUACAAAGAACAGGAAGAGUAACAAUAUGGAGAAACUCAAGAAAUCUAUUCUGUAUUGUCAUUGUGUUUAAAGGGGAAAUUUAGAUCAUGUUGACAACUUGGAAAGGCAUACAAAAAGCCAUAUACAUUAAAUUUCUACCCUCAUGCUAAAUGUUUGUUGAAGUCUUACCAUUACUGGUCAGCAUUUUAUAUUUAUAAACUGUUGAGAGCCAGGCUAUUCUUAGGCUUUUUCUGGGCCCCUAUGAAAGGACAAGAGGAACCUACUUCUGUGUCUGUGUCCAGGGGCAGAUGUGGCAACAUCCAGUCUGGGGUUGGAGCCUGGGCUUCAUAGGGGUUAAGGUUUGGGUUCCAUGGGACUUAGCUUUUCCUCCUGAGGAGAAUGGAGCUAUCAUCCCUGAGGCUGCUGUGUGCCCGGCUGAUGCACGUGAGAUACCACCCUGUUUCUCUGUACGGCAUUGCUUAGCCUCCUGCUGACUUAGUUCCAUCAUAUAACACUGCCUAUUCUAUCCCAUGUUCCCCUGGAAACUGCAUAUAAAAUGCUGUACUUUUGAUAAACUUGCUUGUUAAGCCAUGAGCUUAUAUAAGACCUCCCAGACCUCAGCUUUCCAUCUUUAUCUUAUCUUCUGGUUCUUCCAAUUAGACCCUGUCACUGAAGAAUGGAUGGCCUGCUGGGCCAGA